ACUUAUCUGCUACUGGUGAUGAAGCAUGGAAGGACAAGGAAGCUGCUGUUUUGGCUCUUGGUGUAACCGCUAGAGGUUGCAUCAAUGGUCUUUAUCCUCGUUUGUCUGAGGUAGUACUCGUUUAGUUUUUGAGACAGAUUAUGGAAUGAUGCAUAUAAAAUAUUCAUCUGUUUUUGUUAAAUCAUGUUAUGCUCCUAAAUUGAUCAUUGUUGUUAAAUAUGUUUGUGUGCAGAUUGUGGCAUCUCUAAUUCCCCUUUUAGAUCAUAAGUUUACUCUCAUAAGGAGUACUUCUUGUUGGACACUUUCUCAAUUCAGCAAAUACAUUGUUCAAGUAUGAAUGAAAAUUAGCCUCCCUUUAAAUACUGUGUGGUUGUCAAUACCUUUUUCUAAUUUAGUAAUGAAUGAUUAAUAACCCCUUUGAUCGACUAUAGUUUAUGUGUUUGCAUCAUAUACCAAUCAUUUGUUGUUCUUGGUACAUACUGCCAAUAAACUUAUUUUAUCGGUUUCUUUGGCAUUGGAUUUUAUGUUGAGAAUUCUCAUGUUUCAUCCAUUCGGGAUAGUGGUAAUAAAAAAGGCUAUGAGCAAUUUGACAUGGUUCUUACGGCUUUCCUGCAAAGAAUAUCGGAUACUAACAAGCUGGUACAAGGGGCUGCUUGUUCUGCUCUUGCAAUACUUGAAUAGGUUGUAAACUUGCUGUAUGACCAGUUACAUUUUUGGGAUUUAAAUUCUUACAAGUUUCAACCUUUGCCUUAUACAUUUACAGGAGGCUGCCGAAAAGUUGGCACCAAUCAAACUAGGAGGAACUGAGGUAUCAACUAUUUGCAGUUGUGAAACAUUCCAGAUUCAGACCUACUUCUGGACACUAUGUUUGCUACAUUCGAAUAAUUUAUGAUGAGAUUUCGGCCUAAUCUUGUCAUAUCUGGAGGUGAACCAUAUGCUGAAGAUGGAUGGAGAAAUCUUAGAAUUGGGAACACAUAUUUUAGUGUUACUUGUGUUGAAGAAAAAGCUGUGCUGUCUCAGGAAGCCUACAUUUUGCUCUAUGCUAAACAGGGUAUACCUUGCUUUUCAAUUGUAAUAGAAGUGCAAAAGCCUUGUGCAGACCCUGGAAAUUCUGAUUCUUCACCAAAGUCCUAGAUGACAUAGACUUUGCCUCCAAUCUUGAGGUGGAAAAGAGUGCCAAUUGCAGCGCCAAUGAAACUAAAGAUGUUGCUAAUAGAGCUUCAACUCAAUUCUCUUGCAAUGUGUAUAGUCAUAGGCAGGUUCAACUAGUUAGUCUGUUUCUCAUAUGUAUUAUUUAUUUUAGUUUUGAUUCUAAUUUUUUAUUUUUACUUUAAUUUUUACGACAACUUGAGUUCUAACUUUUGGAUUUUAAUUGUGUUAUUAAUUUAUUAUUUUAAAUUUUAAAACUAAAUUCAUUUAGUUUUAAAGUUAAAA